rnacentral:rRNA from 1 species
AUUGAACGCUGGCGGCAUGCCUUACACAUGCAAGUCGAACGGCAGCGGACCUUCGGGUGCCGGCGAGUGGCGAACGGGUGAGUAAUAUAUCGGAACGUACCUUUCAGUGGGGGAUAACGUAGCGAAAGUUACGCUAAUACCGCAUAUUCUGUGAGCAGGAAAGCAGGGGAUCGCAAGACCUUGCGCUGAUUGAGCGGCCGAUAUCAGAUUAGCUAGUUGGUGAGGUAAAGGCUCACCAAGGCGACGAUCUGUAGCGGGUCUGAGAGGAUGAUCCGCCACACUGGAACUGAGACACGGUCCAGACUCCUACGGGAGGCAGCAGUGGGGAAUUUUGGACAAUGGGCGCAAGCCUGAUCCAGCCAUGCCGCGUGAGUGAAGAAGGCCUUGGGUUGUAAAGCUCUUUCGGCCGGGAAGAAAUACGCACAGGUUAAUACCCUGUGUGGAUGACGGUACCGGAAUAAGAAGCACCGGCUAACUACGUGCCAGCA